rnacentral:rRNA from 1 species
AUGAACGCUGGCGGCGUGCCUAAUACAUGCAAGUCGAGCGAACGGACGAGAAGCUUGCUUCUCUGAUGUUAGCGGCGGACGGGUGAGUAACACGUGGAUAACCUACCUAUACGACUGGGAUAACUUCGGGAAACCGGAGCUAAUACCGGAUAAUAUUUUGAACCGCAUGGUUCAAAAGUGAAAGACGGUCUUGCUGUCACUUAUAGAUGGAUCCGCGCUGCAUUAGCUAGUUGGUAAGGUAACGGCUUACCAAGGCAACGAUGCAUAGCCGACCUGAGAGGGGGAUCGGCCACACUGGAACUGAGACACGGUCCAGACUCCUACGGGAGGCAGCAGUAGGGAAUCUUCCGCAAUGGGCGAAAGCCUGACGGAGCAACGCCGCGUGAGUGAUGAAGGUCUUCGGAUCGUAAAACUCUGUUAUUAGGGAAGAACAUAUGUGUAAGUAACUGUGCACAUCUUGACGGUACCUAAUCAGAAAGCCACGGCUAACUACGUG